rnacentral:rRNA from 1 species
UGGGGAAUCUUGCACAAUGGGCGAAAGCCUGAUGGAGCGACGCCGCGUGAGGGAUGAAGGCUUUAGGGUCGUAAACCUCUUUUCUCAGGGAAGAGCAAGGACGGUACCUGAGGAAUAAGUGACGGCUAACUACGUGCCAGCAGCCGCGGUAAUACGUAGGUCACAAACGUUGUCCGGAUUUAUUGGGCGUAAAGGGUCCGUAGGCGGUUCGGUAAGUCUCCUGUGAAAUCUUCAGGCUCAACUUGAAGAGGUCGGGGGAUACUGCCGGACUUGAGACUGUUAGAGGCAAGUGGAAUUCCCGGUGUAGUGGUGAAAUGCGUAGAUAUCGGGAGGAACACCAGUGGCGAAAGCGGCUUGCUGGGACAGUUCUGACGCUGAGGGACGAAAGCGUGGGUAGCAAACCGG